CCCCGCCCCCUCCAUUGACAUUAGGGCCAAGCACCUCCCCCGCUUGCUGUCCCUUCCCAACUAGAAGACCUGCACCGACAGGUUUUAAGGCGGCCGAUGUCAUUUGUACGCAGUUGCAGUGGGCGGUGUUCUGACUUUGCCCCCAGCCGAGGAGGAUUUGGAUUUGGAGGGGAGGGGAUUUGGAGAAAAAUAUAGGGGAGUGGGACUUGUAGCUGCGACUUCAGCCUUGAAAUCCCCAAAUAUGUGGCUUAUCCGGGGGUUUCUGACUGGGAGACCCGUUUUUCCCUUCCCGGGCUCCCUCUUGUCUUGUUCACUGGACUCCAAUUCAACAGGCAUUUAUUGAAUGCAUCCUCCAGGAAGAGAGCUCUGCGCCAGGUUGCUGAGCUCUGGUGCAGAGAUGGUGAAGGCAGGAAAAAAAGACUCAAAUAAUGUGUGCAUUCGAAAAGGUUCAAACACAUCGGGCCGUGAAGCCGGGAGGGAGCAGAUGCGACGGUGGGCUGAGGUGAGACAGUGAGGGACGGGGUUGAGAGGGGAUGGAAAAAGCUAAAAAUAUGAGAUUCGAGGCCAGGGGCCAAGUUCAUUCUGUCCCCUGAUCCAGGAAGGACAGGAAAUGCUGCACACAGCUACUGCUCGCUACCUCUCCUACUGGGAGACUACUGAGGCGGGAAGCAGAUUAGGCAAAUCUUCUGUCUUUCCACCACUCCCUCUCGUGCCCAGAGCACUCGAGACUGAAUUCUGUCCUGGUCUCUCUUCCCCUUCCCCCACUCCUGCCUCACACCUCCACUCUGCAAGAGGAGGGAAGAACCGAGAAGGAGUCAGUGGAUUGGAGAACCAAAUGGAGAACCAGGCUGCAAAGCGGUGACUAUUUAUAGGAAAAGGAGGACUGCAGGCAUUUUGAAAGUACAGGUGAGGAAUGCUCUAUCCCCUUAUCUGAAGAACUGCCAAAUCUUCCAGGCUGAUUUUCCCAGCUAAGCUAAGGAAGGUUUUUGCAAACAGGAGUUUCAAAAUAAAGGACACUGCUCUCUUGGACGGAAAGAA